CGGCUGUAGCUAAAUCAAACCCACUUUAGAAGCUAACUGGCCGGUCGUUGUGAUUUCCUUUUGGAGUCUGUCAACGGAUCUGCUUACCGAGCUUCUGACAUUC
rnacentral:snoRNA from 1 species